UUAAAACAUUUCUUCAGCAGAGUAAGAAUUUAACUUUACUUUCAGAGAGCCUAUGGCUGGUGUGAAUAGGCAGGAAGUGGUUCUGAAUAUGGGCUGAAUUGCUAAUGGCGAUAGCGAAUAAUUAACUAUCGACGGGGUUGCUCUCGUUAACAAGGCAAAGUAAUUCCAGUAGGAGCUACUUAGUGAGGCUAUUUGCGUAAGCAAGUAGUGAAUCAAAGGUGGUAACACGAAGCACUCGUCCUUUUU
rnacentral:ncRNA from 1 species